rnacentral:lncRNA from 1 species
GUAAGUACUCUGAAUUUUAAUUUACUCAAAAUAGGCACUUCAAUACAUUUUACUUUAUCAAAACAAAGUAGCUUUCCAUCCUUUCUUUACACAGCAAGUAUUACCAUACUCCUAUAGUCAAACUCUUCCUAGAGUUUACACAGAAGUGCUGGUAGUCUUCAUUUUCACAGAACAACAUAGCAUAACUCUUAAAAUGAGGAGAAUUUCCUGAAGAGUCAUCAGAGAAUUAUUAUUAUUAUUGUUAUUAUUUUAAGACAGAGUCUCGCUCUGUCACCAGGCUGGAGUGCAGUGGUGAGAUCUCAGCUCACUGCAGCCUCCACCUCCCGGGUUAAAGCGAUUCUCCAGCUUCAGUCUCCCAAGUAGCUGGGAUUACAGGCACGCACCACCACACUUGGCUAAUGUCUGAUGUGCUCUCACUAAGUCAGAAGUGAAUGAAGAUUAAGGAAGCAGAGACAAGGAGUAUGAACAAUUCUUUCUGGAAGAAUGAUGGGGAAAGAAGAGAAAGGAUUGAUAAAGUAUAGUGACAGAUAAUCUCUGCUUUUAUAAUAAAAAUAAAGCUCAGCUCCUCUGAGGUUGACACUGAAAAAGAGUAACUGCAGGGGCCAGAAGCAGAGAGACCAACAAACCCUGGCCCCUGCCCUGGAGAUUCAUCUUUCUCCCGAGACUCUCCCUCUGAUGAUUUUGGCUCCAUCGAAGCCUCCUUGGGUCAUUUCUUCCUUCAUAUCUGAGGUACAGGCAAUGGGAUGACAAAAGGCAUUUUUCAACAUCUCUCCACAACUAAGUCAAAGCUGAAAAGUUUAAAGGACUUUUCUGAACAUGAGGGCAAUGUUUCCCAACCUUUUGAGGUCAUAGAAACUGCUCUGGACACCAGUUUAAAUAUACAGAAUCUUGGGGGACAUGGAUUUUGAAGGUCUGCAGUGGGAGCCUGGGAAAAGGUAUUUUAAAGUAAUACCGGUUACCCUUAAAUUUCUGCAAGUUCUAGUAUCACUGUGCUGGCAAGUAACAAAGAGAAAUAAACACAGUAGCAUAAAGCCUGGCA